GACGUAGGGGGCAAGCGUUGUCCGGAUUCAUUGGGCGUAAAGAGCGUGUAGGCGGCCGCUUAAGUCCUGCGUGAAAUCUCGGAGCUCAACUCCGAGCGGUCGUGGGAAACUGGGCGGCUAGAGUGCGGGAGAGGAGAGUGGAAUUCCUGGUGUAGCGGUGGAAUGCGCAGGAUAUCAGGAGGAACACCUGCGGCGAAAGCGGCUCACUGGACCACAACUGACGCUGAGGCGCGAAAGCUAGGGGAGCAAACAGG
rnacentral:rRNA from 1 species